rnacentral:rRNA from 1 species
UAGAGUUUGAUCCUGGCUCAGGAUGAACGCUAGCGACAGGCUUAACACAUGCAAGUCGAGGGGCAGCGGGGCGGCAGGCUUGCCUGCCGUUGCCGGCGACCGGCGCACGGGUGAGUAACACGUAUGCAACCUGCCCGUGGCAGGGGGAUAAGCGGGGGAAACCCCGUCUAAUACCGCGUAACGCGGCCUUGGGGCAUCCCCGGGCCGCCAAAGGGAGCAAUCCCGGCCACGGAUGGGCAUGCGGCGCAUUAGCUAGUCGGCGGGGUAACGGCCCACCGAGGCGACGAUGCGUAGGGGUUCUGAGAGGAAGGCCCCCCACACUGGUACUGAGACACGGACCAGACUCCUACGGGAGGCAGCAGUGAGGAAUAUUGGUCAAUGGGCGCGAGCCUGAACCAGCCAAGUCGCGUGAGGGAAGACGGCCCUACGGGUUGUAAACCUCUUUUGCCGGGGAGCAAAGUGCCGCACGUGUGCGGUUUGGAGAGUACCCGGAGAAAAAGCAUCGGCUAACUCCGUGCCAGCAGCCGCGGUAAUACGGAGGAUGCGAGCGUUAUCCGGAUUUAUUGGGUUUAAAGGGUGCGUAGGCGGGAUGCCAAGUCAGCGGUAAAAAUGCGGUGCUCAACGCCGUCGAGCCGUUGAAACUGGCGUUCUUGAGUGGGCGAGAAGUAUGCGGAAUGCGUGGUGUAGCGGUGAAAUGCAUAGAUAUCACGCAGAACUCCGAUUGCGAAGGCAGCAUACCGGCGCCCUACUGACGCUGAGGCACGAAAGCGUGUGUAUCGAACAGGAUUAGAUACCCUGGUAGUCCACGCAGUAAACGAUGAAUGCUAACUGUCCGGUGCGAGUGAGCGCUGGGCGGUACAGCGAAAGCGUUAAGCAUUCCACCUGGGGAGUACGCCGGCAACGGUGAAACUCAAAGGAAUUGACGGGGGCCCGCACAAGCGGAGGAACAUGUGGUUUAAUUCGAUGAUACGCGAGGAACCUUACCCGGGCUCAAACGCAGGAUGACGGGUCCCGAAAGGGGCCUUUCUUCGGACAUUCUGCGAGGUGCUGCAUGGUUGUCGUCAGCUCGUGCCGUGAGGUGUCGGCUUAAGUGCCAUAACGAGCGCAACCCCUGUCCACAGUUGCCAGCAGGUAAAGCUGGGGACUCUGUGGAGACUGCCGGCGCAAGCUGCGAGGAAGGCGGGGAUGACGUCAAAUCAGCACGGCCCUUACGUCCGGGGCGACACACGUGUUACAAUGGCAGGUACAGCGGGAUGCCACGGGGCGACCCGGCGCUGAACCCGAAAACCUGUCUCAGUUCGGAUUGGAGUCUGCAACCCGACUCCAUGAAGCUGGAUUCGCUAGUAAUCGCGCAUCAGCCACGGCGCGGUGAAUACGUUCCCGGGCCUUGCACUCACCGCCCGU